CCGUUCGCGAAAUCGAACCCGCCUCGUUCAUUCGCCAGUCGAUUUCUCGCGUAGAAAUCCGGGCUCGGAAGCGUAAUUGCGGAACGCCCGUUCCGAAUCCCCGACGCCGAUGAUGGGCGUGAGCCUGCAGUGCGCGAUGGAUCUGGCGGUCGCCGGGAUUUCUCUGGCGGUCGGCCUGGGAUUCUUCGCGUUCGUCGCCGCCAUCCUCUGCUCCGCCGCCUUCGUUAACAACGUCAAGGACGUCUCCUGACCCGAUGGUCGUCCCAGAUAUUUCAAUGGAGCCAUGCGGGAACAAGAUCCGAAGAGCAUUCCUGUGCUUUCUGGGAAGCGGUAGGCUAUGUUGAAAUCAAGCCUUGUGUUCAGAUAGCCCAUGGACUACGGACACUCUUUUCAUGCAUCCAACAGAGAAAACCUUGUGAGAAACUGAGUUUUGAGUUUCUGAGGAAGUCUGUUGAUUAUGCUGAAUAAUAGCCAUGCCAGCAAGCCCUCUCGUGUUGUAGUAUACCUCUUGGAAAAAUUUGAUCGAGGAACUUAAUCAUCUUUUUUUCCUCAAAGAAUUGCAGAAAGCAUUUCCGUUCGUUUA